UACAGAGGUCCCAAGCGUUGUUCGGAUUUACUGGGCGUAAAGAGCUCGUAGGCGGCUUGUCGCGUCGUCCGUGAAAACCCACAGCUCAACUGUGGGCUUGCGGUCGAUACGGGCAGGCUAGAGUUCGGUAGGGGAGACUGGAAUUCCUGGUGUAGCGGUGAAAUGCGCAGAUAUCAGGAGGAACACCGGUGGCGAAGGCGGGUCUCUGGGCCGAUACUGACGCUGAGGAGCGAAAGCGUGGGGAGCGAACAGG
rnacentral:rRNA from 1 species